rnacentral:rRNA from 1 species
UACGAAGGGGGCUAGCGUUGCUCGGAAUUACUGGGCGUAAGGCGCACGUAGGCGGCUCUUUAAGUCGGGGGUGAAAUCCUGGAGCUCAACCACAGAAUUGCCUUCGAUACUGGAUGGCUUGAGACCGGAAGAGGUAAGUGGAACUGCGAGUGUAGAGGUGAAAUUCGUAGAUAUUCGCAAGAACACCAGUGGCGAAGGCGGCUUACUGGUCCGGAUCUGACGCUGAGGCGCGAAAGCGUGGGGAGCAAACAGG